GGCGAACGGGUGAGUAACACGUUGGUGACCUACCCCAGAGAGGGGGAUAACAGCUCGAAAGGGCUGCUAAUACCCCAUGUCGUCAUGGCGCUUAGAAAGCCAUGUCGAAAGGUGCAAAUCGCUCUGGGAGGAGCCUGCGUCCCAUCAGCUAGUUGGUAGGGUAAUGGCCUACCAAGGCGACGACGGGUAGGGGACCUGAGAGGGUGACCCCCCACACUGGCACUGAAACACGGGCCAGACACCUACGGGUGGCAGCAGUAGGGAAUAUUGCACAAUGGGCGAAAGCCUGAUGCAGCAACGCCGCGUGCGCGAUGAAGGCCUUCGGGUCGUAAAGCGCUUUUCGGGGAGAUGAGGAAGGACAGUAUCCCCGGAAUAAGGAUCGGCUAACUACGUGCCAGCAGCCGCGGUAAAACGUAGGAUCCGAGCGUUAUCCGAAUUCACUGGGCGUAAAGCGCGUGCAGGCGGUCCGGUAAGUUGGAUGUGAAAUCUCCUGGCUCAACUGGGAGAGGACGUUCAAUACUGUC
rnacentral:rRNA from 1 species